GCGCUUGUAGUGUAGUGGUUUUCACACAACUCUUCCAAAGUUGAGACCCGGUUUCGAUUACCGGCAGGCGCA